UACGGCGAGUGAGCGGCACAGCUCAAAUUUGAAAUCUGGCCUUCUGGUCCGAAUUGUAAUUUGUAGAGGAUGAUUUUGGUGCGGUACCUUCCGAGUUCCUUGGAACAGGACGCCUUAGAGGGUGAGAGCCCCGUACGGUUGGAUGCCUAGCCUUUGUAAAUCUCCUUCGACGAGUCGAGUAGUUUGGGAAUGCUGCUCUAAAUGGGAGGUAAAUUUCUUCUAAAGCUAAAUAUUGGCCAGAGACCGAUAGCGCACAAGUAGAGUGAUCGAAAGAUGAAAAGCACUUUGAAAAGAGGGUUAAAUAGCACGUGAAAUUGUUGAAAGGGAAGGAUUUAUGACCAGACUUUUUCUAGGCGGAUCAUCCGGUGUUCUCACCGGUGCACUUUGUCUAGUUUAGGCCAGCAUCGAUUUUCGGCAGCGGAUAAAAGCUUCAGGAAUGUGGCUCCUCCGGGAGUGUUAUAGCCUGUUGUAUAAUACGCCGCUGGGGAUCGAGGUACGCGCUUCUGCAAGGAUGCUGGCGUAAUGGUUAUCAAUCACCCGUC
rnacentral:rRNA from 1 species